ACGCUGGCGGCACGCCUAACACAUGCAAGUCGAACGAAGUAGCAAUACUUAGUGGCAGACGGGUGAGUAACGUGUGGGUAUCUACCCUUUGGCCUGGAAUAACACGAGGAAACUUGUGCUAAUACCGGAUAAGUCUUUACGGAGAAAGCUUUAUGCACCAUUGGAUGAGCCCGCACUUGAUUAGUUUGUUGGUAGGGUAAUGGCCUACCAAGACUAUGAUCAAUAGCUGAUUUGAGAGGAUGAUCAGCCACAUUGGGACUGAGACACGGCCCAAACUCCUACGGGAGGCAGCAGUGGGGAAUCUUGCACAAUGGAGGAAACUCUGAUGCAGCGAUGCCGCGUGAGUGAAGAAGGCCUUUGGGUUGUAAAGCUCUUUCGUCGGGGAAGAAAAUGACUGUACCCGAAUAAGAAGGUCCGGCUAACUUCGUGCCAGCAGCCGCGGUAAUACGAAGGGACCUAGCGUAGUUCGGAAUUACUGGGCUUAAAGAGUUCGUAGGUGGUUGAAAAAGUUGGUGGUGAAAUCCCAGAGCUUAACUCUGGAACUGCCAUCAAAACUUUUCAGCUAGAGUAUGAUAGAGGAAAGCAGAAUUUCUAGUGUAGAGGUGAAAUUCGUAGAUAUUAGAAAGAAUACCAAUUGCGAAGGCAGCUUUCUGGAUCAUUACUGACACUGAGGAACGAAAGCAUGGGUAGCGAAGAGGAUUAGAUACCCUCGUAGUCCAUGCCGUAAACGAUGUGUGUUAGACGUUGGAAAUUUAUUUUCAGUGUCGCAGGGAAACCGAUAAACACACCGCCUGGGAAGUACGACCGCAAGGUUAAAACUCAAAUGAAUUGACGGGGACCCGCACAAGUAGUGGAGCAUGUGGUUUAAUUCGAAGAUACGCGCAGAACCUUACCAACACUUGACAUGUUCGUCGCGACUCUAAGAGAUUAGAGUUUUCGGUUCGGCCGGACGAAACACAGGUGCUGCAUGGCUGUCGUCAGCUCGUGUCGUGAGAUGUUGGGUUAAGUCCCGCAACGAGCGCAACCCUCACUUUUAGUUGCCAUCAUUAAGUUGGGCACUCUGAAAGAACUGCCAGUGAUAAGCUGGAGGAAGGUGGGGAUGACGUCAAGUCCUCAUGGCCCUUACGUGUUGGGCUACACACGUGCUACAAUGGCAUCUACAACAGGAAGCAAAACGGCAACGUUAAGCAAAUCCCGAAAAGAUGCCUCAGUUCGGAUUGCACUCUGCAACUCGAGUGCAUGAAGCUGGAAUUACUAGUAAUCGUGGAUCAGCGUGCCACGGUGAAUGCGUUCCCGGGUCUUGUACACACCGC
rnacentral:rRNA from 1 species